CUUUGCAUUGUCACACAUGCUUCAGUGCUCUGAGAGUGUUUAUAGUGCUGUGAGUUUAACACUUCAUGACUGAGAGCAGAACAGAACACAAUCUUCAUCAUCACACAAGACAAAAGAACAACAAUGAACACAAUCACCUUCUUCAUCUGGACUCUCACACUGUUUGCUCAAGAGUGUAGAGGACAGAUCACUGUAACUCAGAGUCCAUCAACAAUAACAGCUCAUCCAGGACAAGAAGUCAGAAUAAACUGUAAAACCAGCAGUGCAGUGUAUAGUAGUAAUUACUUACACUGGUACUUACAGAAGCCUGGAGAAGCUCCUAAACUCCUGAUUUACUAUAUAAACAGACUCCAGUCAGGAACUCCAUCUAGAUUCAGUGGCAGUGGAUCUGGCAGUGAUUUCACUCUGACCAUCAGUGGAGUCCAGACUGAAGAUACAGGAGAUUAUUACUGUCAGAGUUUACACUGUCCUAGUAGCUGUGUGUUCACACAGUGAUAAAGAGUGGUACAAAAACCUCGGUCAGUCAGACGUCACAGUGAUGCACUGAUACAGCUGAGAGAUACUGCAGCUGCUGAUGGAGGAUCACAAACAACACAAUGCUGUAUCAAA